GGUGCGUAGGCAUAGAGCCUACGCUUUUGUCCACCNUAGGGAGGUGGACGAAUAAGGGCUGGGCAAGACCGGUGCCAGCCGCCGCGGUAAUACCGGCAGCCCGAGUGAUGGCCGAUUUUAUUGGGCCUAAAGCGUCCGUAGCUGGCCGNACAAGUCCAUCGGAAAAUCCACCCGCUCAACGGGUGGGCGUCCGGUGGAAACUGUGUGGCUUGGGACCGGAAGGCNCGACGGGUACGUCCGGGGUAGGAGUGAAAUCCCGUAAUCCUGGACGGACCGCCGAUGGCGAAAGCACGUCNCGANAACGGAUCCGACAGUGAGGGACGAAAGCUAGGGUCUCGAACCGGAUUAGAUACCCGGGUAGUCCUAGCCGUAAACAAUGCCUGCUAGGUGUGGCUCCCACUACGAGUGGGUGCUGUGCCGUAGGGAAGCCGCUAAGCAGGCCGCCUGGGAAGUACGUCCGCAAGGAUGAAACUUAAAGGAAUUGGCGGGGGGAGCACAA
rnacentral:rRNA from 1 species